GAUGAGCCCGCGGCCUAUCAGCUAGUUGGUGAGGUAACUGCUCACCAAGGCUAAGACGGGUAGCUGGUCUGAGAGGACGACCAGCCACACUGGAACUGAGACACGGUCCAGACACCUACGGGUGGCAGCAGUCGAGAAUUUUUCUCAAUGGGCGAAAGCCUGAAGGAGCGACGCCGCGUGGGGGAUGAAUGGCUUCGGCCCGUAAACCCCUGUCAUUUGUGACCAAACCUUCCGAUCUAAUAAGUCGGAAGCUGAUGGUAGCGGAAGAGGAAGGGACGGCUAACUCUGUGCCAGCAGCCGCGGUAAUACAGAGGUCCCAAGCGUUGUUCGGAUUUACUGGGCGUAAAGGGUGCGUAGGUGGUCGGGUAAGUCUGAUGUGAAAGCUCGGAGCUCAACUCCGAAACAGCAUUAGAUACUAUUCGGCUUGAGGAUUGGAUGGGAGACUGGAAUACUUGGUGUAGCAGUGAAAUGCGUAGAUAUCAAGUGGAACACCAGUGGCGAAGGCGAGUCUCUGGACAACUCCUGACGCUGAGGCACGAAAGCUAGGGGAGCAAACAGGAUUAGAU
rnacentral:rRNA from 1 species